GAUGGCAAGCGGGGUGAGCUGAAGGCGAGGUCAUCACUCGUUUGCAACCUUAGGCUCACCUGCUAAGAGCAGACACAGCCCGGCCCAGGCCCGUGCCUCAGACAUCCGCGCUGCGCAGAGGCAAGGCCCCCUCACUCUCCCUCCCCUGCUGCGCAGCCUGCAGAGCCAGCGGCUCUGUGCAGCUCCUGGCUCAUGCAGUCUUCAGUCAGGAACCUAAACCUCGCCAGCUGUUCGGCAAACUGAGGCCACCUCAGCUCCAAGCAGUUUUUCUCUGGCCCCUCUUUCCCACUGCUGUUAGGGGAUUCUAAAGCAGCAGUGCACCUCCAGACCUGCAUCCAUUAAAAUAUAUCGAUAUUAAAGUUUACAUGUGAACUCCGAAGUCUUCGAGUAGUGACACAGUUGCACGUUACUGUGUCAUAUUAAACAGUGAAAAUCACACGGAACAGGUACGCUCAGAGACGCAGCGUGCGUGGCUCAGGCUGCUGGAGCCUGCAGAUCUUACGUGGAAGCCCAAUACGAAAAAGGGCUGAGGCUUGGUCCCCACAGAAGAGGAUGAAGGCCACACACCUACCCACCUGAGGUCCCUGACCCGCCUCGAACGUCAGGAUUCCAAAUCCCAGGCCUCUGAGACACAGAUGGGGACUCCUGCUAUCGCCUCCUGGCCAGGCCCCUCUGUCUCCUGAACAGACUAAGGGGAAGAGUGGAUUUACUCCAGGCGCCUAAACAUGGGCCACGCGCCUGACUAGCGAAGCACCGUGCAAGGGGCUGAACAACUGUGGGUGGAAACGGUCUCUCCUUGGUUUACACAGUCAGUCUACAGCAGAGUCCAGGCAGUAGCAGGCACCACUGUCAGCAGCAACAGGCUAUUUCACCAGGAUCCAAGCCUCAGGGGUUAAGUUCUGCAUUUAGAAAAAAAUCUUAAAACCAGUCUGGAAGCAGUUACAAGUCAAUUUUGAAAGCUGAUGUAAAAUUUCACUGAAAAUACAACUAAAAUGCCAACUGCCACGAGCAAUGUAACGGAAGCCAAGAACAUGGAUAUGAUAGAAAAGACAGUAAGUGGUAAAUAAAAUACAACAGC
ensembl:lncRNA